GACGAACGCUGGCGGCGUGCUUAACACAUGCAAGUCGAACGGAGAACCGCGGCGGAGGGGAUCAGGGGCGAACGGGUGGGUAAGACGGUGGCAACCUGCCCCCGUCUCUGGGAUAACUCCAAGAAAUUGGGACUAAUACGGUAUGUUCAGCUCUUCCCUCAAGGGGGGUGGUGGAAAGGUGUUCCGGCUGGGGAUGGGCCCGCGGCCUAUCAGCUUGUUGGUGGGGGAGUGGCCUACCAAGGCGGGGGCGGGUAGGCGGCCUGGGAGGGUGACCGGCCACACUGGGACUGAGACACGGCCCAGACUCCUACGGGCGGCAGCAGUGGGGAAUCUUGCGCAAUGGGCGGACGCCUGACGCAGCGACGCCGCGUGGGGAAUGAUGGCCUUCGGGUUGUAAACCUCUUUCUGCAGGGACGUAGCGCACUUGACGGUACCUGCACAAGAAGCCCCGGCUAACUACGUG
rnacentral:rRNA from 1 species